rnacentral:lncRNA from 1 species
GCUUAAAUUGGCAAAGAUCAGUAGUCAUUAUGGACUGGUUUUUGUUCAUGACUUAAUUUUGCCAUUCUAAACCUUUGAGCAGGAUUUAAAAUACUUAAUACAGCACUCCCCAGGCUCUGGUGUUUACCUUACUUCAAAAAUCCAUUUUUCAUGAUUUCACUUUUCUUCCACAGAGAGAAGUUAAGUAAGAGGGCUUUGGGUCAAGAUUGUGACUGGAUUCAAAUCCUAAAGUUUUCACUACAUUGUGUGCCCGUAGUGGGUCUUAAAAGUGGAAGGAUCUACCUUGAAAGCCAGAAGCAUGGAUAACUACAACCAUUCUAAAUAAAAUGGAAUUUUCCUUUCUGUGACUCCCUGUGGAUCUUCACAGCUAAAAUAAAGAGACAAAAUAUAUUUCUAGAGCAUCCCACAGUCCAGUGGUUCUUGCAUGGGGUGGGAGCCACCUCCAGGGGGGCAUUUGGAAAGGUAUGAAGACUAUAGUUUUCAUUCUGACUGAAUCCCCUUCUCUUUGUUCCAAACCAUGAUAGGAAGAAUUAUACCAUUCCAAAAUUCAACAGCAUGACCAUUGAGAAAUAGCACCAACCCUUCCCUCAAGAGGGAACCCAGGAAUCUUAAGAUCCUCCAUCAUUUGGGGAUGUGAGUGGGCUUAGGUGUCUGAAUUUGGCUGUAAACAUUCUGUUCCUUAGGUGUAUUGAAUUACACAUGGGGCUGGUAUCUUAGUCUGUUCAGGCUGCUAUAACACAAUAACAUAAACUGGGUAGCUUAUAAACAACGUAAUUUUUCCCCUACAGUUCUGGGAAGACUGGAAAGUCCAAGAUCAAGGCUCCAGCAGAUUAAGCAUCUGGUGAGGGCUCAUUUCCUGGCUCACACACAGUGCCUUCUCACUGUGUCCUCACAUGGUUGAAAAAGAAACGCAACUCUGUGGGGCCCCUUAUAAUCCCAUUCAUGAGGGCUCUGAAGUCAUGAUGUGACCACCCUCAAAGGUCACACCUCCUAAUGCCAUCAUAUUGGUGAUUAGGUUUUCAAUAUACCAUUUUUUUGGGGGGGUGGAAACACAUUCAGCCUGUGGCAGGUAGCUGCAAUGCUUGAGGUAUAAUGGGUUAUAAAAUUACAUUAUUUUUGAG